GGAUCUCUUUAGGAAUCUUUCUCAAAAGAUCACACCACACAAGAAUUAAAUCAGAUGUUCAACACUUGAACAAACUGAUUUUUGGACAAGCAUCACAUGCUUUCCAAUUUCCUUCUCCCUUCCUUUCCAUUUUCUCUCCCUCUUCUCUUAUAUUUUUUUCAGACUUUUUUUUGUCUUUAUCCUCUCAUUCUCAUGCCUAAACCCAACCAAAAAGGGGUGCGAAACUAUGGACUAACACCCCCUAUUUAUAAGGAAUAAGGGGGCAAACCAUGGGAUGCCAACUCUUGGCGUCCCUUAAUUCUUACACGCCACCAAUAAAAUUUUGCAUGGAAUCCC
rnacentral:lncRNA from 1 species